rnacentral:ncRNA from 1 species
AAAAUAACAAUACAGGACUCUUUCGAGGCCCUGUAAUUGGAAUGAGUCCACUUUAAAUCCUUGAGCGAGGAUCCAUUGGAGGGCAAGUCUGGUGCCAGCAGCCGCGGUAAUUCCAGCUCCAAUAGCGUAUCUUAAAGUUGCUG